GAGUUUGAUCAUGGCUCAGGAUGAACGCUGGCGGCGUGCCUAAUACAUGCAAGUCGAGCGGUAACACUUCGGGUGACGAGCGGCGGACGGCUGAGUAACGCGUAGGAACGUACCCCAAACUGAGGGAUAAGCACCAGAAAUGGUGUCUAAUACCGCAUAUGAUCUUCGGAUUAAAGCUUCGGCGGCUUGGGAACGGCCUGCGUAUGAUUAGCUUGUUGGUGAGGUAAAAGCUCACCAAGGCGACGAUCAUUAGCUGGUCUGAGAGGAUGAUCAGCCAGACUGGGACUGAGACACGGCCCAGACUCCUACGGGAGGCAGCAGUAGGGAAUCUUCCACAAUGGGCGAAAAGCCUGAUGGAGCAACGCCGCGUGCAGGAUGAAAGCCUU
rnacentral:rRNA from 1 species